rnacentral:rRNA from 1 species
CCUACGGGAGGCAGCAGUGAGGAAUAUUGGUCAAUGGGCGCGAGCCUGAACCAGCAAAGCAGCGUGAAGGAUGACUGCUCUACGGGUUGUAACCUUCUUUUAUAAAGGAAUAUAGUGAAGCACGUGUGCCUUUUAGUCUGUACUUUAUGAAUAACGAUCGGCUAACUCCGUGCCAGCAGCCGCGGUAAUACGGAGGAUCCGAGCGUUAUCCGGAUUUAUUGGGUGUAAAGGAAGCGUAGACGGGUUGUUAAGUCAGUUGUGAAAGUUUGCGGCUUAACCGUAAAAUUGCAAUUGAUACUGGCAGUCUUGAGUACAGUUGAGGUAGGCGGAAUUCGUGGUGUAGCGGUGAAAUGCGUAGAUAUCACGAGGAACACCGAUGGCGAAGGCAGCUUACUAGACUGCCACUGACAUUGAGGCUCGAAAGUGUGGGGAUCAAACAGGAUUAGAUACCCGUGUAGUC